rnacentral:lncRNA from 1 species
GCUUGAUGUUCAUAUGAUGAAAUCAUAAUCUUUCAGUCAGUUUAAUUGAAUCUGGAGCUGGCAUGUCAGUUAACUGCUAGUAGUCUGUUGUUAUGUAUGUAUUAUUAUCAUUUUGUUUAUUUUCUUUGGUUACAUCUUCUGACAUCAGACUUGGACUUCUCUUGAACUGAAUUUUAAUGUGCGUAUUGUUAUGCGUUUACUUUUCUACAUUGGCUAGAGGUAUAGGGGAGGGUUGAGAUCUCACAAACAUGUUUAACCCCGCCGCAUUUUUGCGCCUGUCCCAAGUCAGGAGCCUCUGGCCUUUGUUAGUCUUGUAUUAUUUUAAUUUUAGUUUCUUG